UGCAGUCGAGCGGCAGCGCGGGGCAACCUGGCGGCGAGCGGCGAACGGGUGAGUAACAUAUCGGAACGUACCUAUUUGAGGGGGAUAACGCAGCGAAAGUUGUGCUAAUACCGCAUAAGACCUGAGGGUGAAAGUGGGGGACCGCAAGGCCUCACGCGAAUAGAGCGGCCGAUAUCUGAUUAGCUAGUUGGUAGGGUAAAGGCCUACCAAGGCGACGAUCAGUAGCUGGUCUGAGAGGACGACCAGCCACACUGGGACUGAGACACGGCCCAGACUCCUACGGGAGGCAGCAGUGGGGAAUUUUGGACAAUGGGGGCAACCCUGAUCCAGCCAUUCCGCGUGAGUGAAGAAGGCCUUCGGGUUGUAAAGCUCUUUCGGCAGGAACGAAAAGGUUAGGGUGAAUAAUCCUGAUUGAUGACGGUACCUGAAGAAGAAGCACCGGCUAACUACGUGCCAGCAGCCGCGGUAAUACGUAGGGUGCGAGCGUUAAUCGGAAUUACUGGGCGUAAAGGGUGCGCAGGUGGUUAUUUAAGACAGAUGUGAAAUCCCCGGGCUCAACCUGGGAACUGCGUUUGUGACUGGAUAGCUAGAGUGCGGCAGAGGGGGGUAGAAUUCCACGUGUAGCAGUGAAAUGCGUAGAGAUGUGGAGGAAUACCGAUGGCGAAGCAGCCCCCUGGGUCAGCACUG
rnacentral:rRNA from 1 species